rnacentral:rRNA from 1 species
UGCAGUCGAGGGGCAGCGAGAUGUAGUAAUACAUUGUCGGCGACCGGCGCACGGGUGCGUAACGCGUAUGCAACCUACCAUAUACAGGGGAAUAACCUUUCGAAAGGGAGACUAAUACCCCAUAGUAUUACAUUAAGGCAUCUUAUUGUAAUUAAAGAUUUAUUGGUAUAUGAUGGGCAUGCGUGCCAUUAGUUAGUUGGUGAGGUAACGGCUCACCAAGACAACGAUGGCUAGGGGUUCUGAGAGGAAGACCCCCCACACUGGUACUGAGACACGGACCAGACUCCUACGGGAGGCAGCAGUGAGGAAUAUUGGUCAAUGGACGGAAGUCUGAACCAGCCAUGCCGCGUGCAGGAAGACGGCCCUACGGGUUGUAAACUGCUUUUAUGUGAGAAUAACCCUAGUCUUGCGAGAUUAGCUGAAGGUAUCACAUGAAUAAGGAUCGGCUAACUCCGUGCCAGCAGCCGCGGUAAUACGGAGGAUUCGAGCGUUAUCCGGAUUUAUUGGGUUUAAAGGGUGCGUAGGCGGGCUAAUAAGUCAGUGGUGAAAUCACUCAGCUUAACUGAGUAACUGCCAUUGAUACUGUUAGUCUAGAAUAUAAAUGGUGCAGGCGGAAUGAAUCAUGUAGAGGUGACAUUCAUAGAUAUGAUUCAGAACACCGAUCGCGAAGGCAGCUUGCAAAGAUAUUAUUGACGCUGAGGCACGAAAGCGUGGGUAGCGAACAGGAUUAGAUACCCUGGUAGUCCACGCUGUAAACGAUGAUAACUCGUUGUCGGCGAUACACAGUCGGUGACUAAAGGGAAACCGAUCAGUUAUCCACCUGGGGAGUACGAUCGCAAGGUUGAAACUCAAAGGAAUUGACGGG